rnacentral:rRNA from 1 species
GAUGAACGCUGGCGGCGUGCUUAACACAUGCAAGUCGAACGGUGAAGCCAAGCUUGCUUGGUGGAUCAGUGGCGAACGGGUGAGUAACACGUGAGCAACCUGCCCUGGACUCUGGGAUAAGCGCUGGAAACGGCGUCUAAUACUGGAUAUGAGCCUCUAUCGCAUGGUGGGGGUUGGAAAGAUUUUUCGGUCUGGGAUGGGCUCGCGGCCUAUCAGCUUGUUGGUGAGGUAAUGGCUCACCAAGGCGUCGACGGGUAGCCGGCCUGAGAGGGUGACCGGCCACACUGGGACUGAGACACGGCCCAGACUCCUACGGGAGGCAGCAGUGGGGAAUAUUGCACAAUGGGCGGAAGCCUGAUGCAGCAACGCCGCGUGAGGGAUGACGGCCUUCGGGUUGUAAACCUCUUUUAGCAAGGAAGAAGCGAAAGUGACGGUACUUGCAGAAAAAGCGCCGGCUAACUACGUGCCAGCCGCAGCCGCCGUAA